rnacentral:rRNA from 1 species
GAUGAACGCUGGCGGCGUGCCUAAUACAUGCAAGUCGUACGAGUGUAGCAAUACACUAGUGGCGAACGGGUGAGUAACACGUAGGUAACCUGCCUUGAAGCUUGGGAUACCCGAGGGAAACUUCGGCUAAUACCGGAUAUGAUCAUUAGAGGCAUCUCUGAUGAUUAAAAGACGCAGCAAUGCGUCACUUCGAGAUGGGCCUGCGGCGCAUUAGCUAGUUGGUGAGGUAACGGCUCACCAAGGCAUCGAU